rnacentral:rRNA from 1 species
AGAGUUUGAUCCUGGCUCAGGAUGAACGCUAGCGGCAGGCCUAACACAUGCAAGUCGAGGGGCAUCGGGAUUGAAGCUUGCUUCAAUUGCCGGCGACCGGCGCACGGGUGCGUAACGCGUAUGUAACCUACCUAUAACAGGGGCAUAACACUGAGAAAUUGGUACUAAUUCCCCAUAAUAUUCGGAGAGGCAUCUCUCCGGGUUGAAAACUCCGGUGGUUAUAGAUGGACAUGCGUUGUAUUAGCUAGUUGGUGAGGUAACGGCUCACCAAGGCAACGAUACAUAGGGGGACUGAGAGGUUAACCCCCCANACUGGUACUGAGACACGGACCAGACUCCUACGGGAGGCAGCA